AGCACAAAAUAAUUCCCAAGUUCAAGAUUUAUUUUUGCCUUCUGAAGACAUGGUCUGUGUCACUGGAAAAGAAAAAAGGGUCAGGAACUUCCGUGCUUGUAGGAUUUGGAUGUAGAGGUGGGGGGAAUGUCUCCGGACUCGGGACCGCACCUCCUAUGUCUGUGAAUAGGACGGACUCACUGGUGUGUCCUCCACAUGUUCUUGAGGAAGUUAACAAGGCUAAACAAGGAACUCACUGUCCUGCCUGCUCAGAAGACUCAGCACAAGAGAACACACAGCAAGACUCAAGGUUUUGGAACUGGGAGGAAGCGGAAAACUGGCUCCUUCUGGCUCUCAGAUCUUGUGACUCAACAAAGAAUUUAAAAAGAAUAUUCUCCCUAUUGAAAGGCCUCAAUUUUCCCAUCUGUAUGGACAGGCGGCAAAAUGAGAUAGUUUACGUGAAAUGCUGUCGGGCCCUCAGCAGGAGCUCAGUGAGCACUGGUCUUCUUCCCUCUUGCAGAUCCGCUCCCCAGAAUCUGUCUUUCCAGGGUUUCUCUGCUCCAAUUCGUCUUGUGUCCUUUUGCCAGAUGACUUCUCCUAAAGCCAACCUCAUUCUCUCUCGCCCGUGCUCAAGCCUUGUGGCUUCCCACUGUCUAUCGGAGUGAAGUGCACACCAAAGGCCUAGGUUUUAGGCCCUUCCCGUGUGACCCUCCUCACCAGCACAAUCUCCUUUCUCUCUUCCCUCCUUCACAAACUCAGUGCCAUGGCCAACUAGGCAGCUGGCUCGCCCUUCUCUAUGCCCUGCUGUCCCCAGCCUUUGCUGACGCUGGAGAGAAGGCACUUCCUCUCCAGCCUUGCAGCCUUCUAGCUCAGCAUGACCCUUAGCUCUCAGAAAGAUACACUCAUCUUCUAAUGACAUGAAAAUGAUCAACUGAGCUUGAUUUGUAGCAAAUAAUAGAAUAAAUAAUAACGCAUAUAAUUGACCCAGCUUUUGGAACUCUGCAGGGAUCAUUUAAUUUCUCAAAGUUAGAUAAUGUUUAUGUGAAGCAGAUGCUACUGCUAAAUAUAUAAAUACACAUUUAUAAUAACUUAGUGUAUUUGUGGGUACGUGAGUAUAGAUAGGGAGAGAGAUGCUUAGAGAAGAUGGAGAUAGAUGUAAGCUAGACACUAGCUUUCUAUAUAAACAUUUACAUCUUUCUAUCUAGCAAAUUAGUUUGAGAAGGAAAAGUCAUUUACAGAUACUUUCUAGUGAAGUAUUAAUUUCCAAGUGUUAUGGGCUGACCAACUAUAUCCUUUUAUGUAAGAAGCAUAUUGCAGACAUUAAAUACUCUAUUGUGAAGACUGAAAACGACCUAAACUAUUCCAACAAUUGGGAUAUGGUUAUAGAAAUUACGGUAUACUCACAUUAUGAACUCUUAUACAGCCAUAAAAUGAUGUUUUUGGAGAAAUUAAGUGAUGUUGGAAAAAACUAGACAUGAAAUUGUAUGUUUUAUCUGCUCCUGGAUAUGUAAUUAUAAUGAUUAUAAACACUAAUGAUAAUAAUAAGCAAGAAAAAAAGACCAAAAGGAAAUAUACCAAAGGUUAAUAGUGGGAGAAGAGAAUUUUCAAUGAUUUUUUUAUUCUUCUUUAUCGUUUUCUGUGGUUUCUAAAUUCCCCACAAUAAUAAGUAUGUGUUGCUCUUACAUCAAAGAGGAAAAUACUUACAGCAUCAUUUAAGAACAAACACAGAAACAAACAAAUGUCCUUGAGCUCCGAUAAGGAAUAUAAGGAUAGAGGAAGUUCAAACAGUUCUUUUCAGCAUUGUCUACCCAGAAGCUGUCCUUCCAUGGAGGCAUCUGGAUUCCACAAAGAAAGUUUCCUCAUCAGCAGCCUCUGUGAACCAAAUGCUGUCAGCAGCUGCCUGCUAAAUACUCUCAGUGACUUGACUUAGAGGAAGAUGACCCAAGAAUGCGAGAAAAAAGGGUCCAAGAUCUUGCAAAAGAACAGAGCAUUUUUUUCUAUAACAUCUCUGUCCAUGAUUGACAACACAUACAGGCAGAAGUCUUUUUAAUUUUAUUUUGCUUUUCCUUAAGAUCUUUAAGGCUGUUUUACCAUUUGUCCAUGAGGCAAUCUUUGAGUAGAUCUCUUUCAAGAAUUGGAAUAUACACAGGAAUCUCUAAAAGAAGUACCAAUGUGACUCACAACAAUUACACAUUUACAGAUACAUGUUGGGAUUGGGGGAAGAAAAAAUUGUGAUUUGGAAUCAGUUUUCUAUAGAAAAGUAGAAAAAGGAAACGCACAUACCCUAAACAAUGCAUCCGCUGUAAAAUCCUGAAUGUCAGGCAGAGGAUGGGGGUGGCAUACAAUUGCUUUACACAUGGCACUGUGAGUGGCGCACAGAAGGGCUGGGGUAACAUUCAUGGUUGGCGGACCAACGCUUUUCAUAACAUGAAAGAUCAUAAUGACACUGCGGUAGAGCACAAUCAACUGUGCUUCUCUGUGACACCAUGAAGCUGAGCAUUCUUCCAAAGAUCUAAAGAAGAGCAAAAGACUUCGCCAGUUACAGUGGUACUGUUAAAUUAAAACUGGAAAUUGAGACUCUUGACACCCGAAAGUGUCUGAAGUCAGACUGCUGGGUGUGAACAUUGGCUCUUGUCAGACUGGUUAUCUCUGUGCUUCAGUUUCCCCCACUGUAAAAUGGGAUUAAUAGCGGUGCCUCCCUCAGAAUGUGAGGGUGGAGGGGCUCAUACAUGGCACAUACUAUUUGCUCCACAAAGGUGAUCUAUGUGGGGCACUGAGCACUGGGUGAACCUGACUUCCCUGAGCUCCGCUGAGCACUGCAUAUCACUGGCAAAGGCAUUUUCUUUUCCUUCCCUCAUCUGAAUCUAUCCAAACACUCUCUAGCAAACGGCUCAGAUCAAAUAAAACUCAACAUUUUGCA